rnacentral:rRNA from 1 species
AGUGAACGCUGGCGGUAGGCCUAACACAUGCAAGUCGAACGGCAGCACAGUAAGAGCUUGCUCUUACGGGUGGCGAGUGGCGGACGGGUGAGGCAUACAUCGGAAUCUACUUUUUCGUGGGGGAUAACGUAGGGAAACUUACGCUACUACCGCAUACGACCUACGGGUGAAAGCAGGGGAUCUUCGGACCUUGCGCGAUUGACUGAGCUGAUGCCGGAUCGGCUAGUUGGCGGGGUAAAGGCCCACCAAGGCGACGGUCCGUAGCUGGUCUGAGAGGAUGAUCAGCCACACUGGAACUGAGACACGGUCCAGACUCCUACGGGAGGCAGCAGUGGGGAAUAUUGGACAAUGGGCGCAAGCCUGAUCCAGCCAUACCGCGUGGGUGAAGAAGGCCUUCGGGUUGUAAAGCCCUUUUGUUGGGAAAGAAAAGCAGCAGAUUAAUACCCCGCUGUUCUGACGGUACCCAAAGAAUAAGCACCGGCUAACUUCGUG